GAUGAACGCUGGCGGCGUGCCUAAUACAUGCAAGUCGAGCGAACAGACGUGUUUCUUGCUCCUCUGACGUUAGCGGCGGACGGGUGAGUAACACGUGGAUAACCUCCCUAUAAGACUGGGAUAACUUCGGGAAACCGGAGCUAAUACCGGAUAAUAUAUUGAACCGCAUGGUUCAAUAGUGAAUGACGGUUUUGCUGUUACUUAUAUAUGGAUCCGCGCCGCAUUAGCGAGUUGGUAAGGUAACGGCUUACCAAGGCGACGAUGCGUAGCCGACCUGAGAGGGUGAUCGGCCACACUGGAACUGAGACACGGUCCAGACUCCUACGGGAGGCAGCAGUAGGGAAUCUUCCGCAAUGGGCGAAAGCCUGACGGAGCAACGCCGCGUGAGUGAUGAAGGUCUUCGGAUCGUAAAACUCUGUUAUUAGGGAAGAACAAAUGUGUAAGUAACUAUGCACGUCUUGACGGUACCUAAUCAGAAAGCCACGGCUAACUACGUG
rnacentral:rRNA from 1 species